rnacentral:rRNA from 1 species
GCUUGCUUGUUGGGGUUGUAGGACACUCUAUACGGAGUUACAAAGGACGACAUUAGACGAAUCAUCUGGAAAGAUGAAUCAAAGAAGGUAAUAAUCCUGUAGUCGAAAAUGUUGUCUCUCUUGAGUGGAUCCUGAGUACGACGGAGCACGUGAAAUUCCGUCGGAAUCUGGGAGGACCAUCUCCUAAGGCUAAAUACUCUCUAGUGACCGAUAGUGAACCAGUACCGUGAGGGAAAGGUGAAAAGCACCCCGGAAGGGGAGUGAAAUAGAACCUGAAACCGUGUGCUUACAAGUAGUCAGAGCCCGUUAAUGGGUGAUGGCGUGCCUUUUGUAGAAUGAACCGGCGAGUUACGAUUUGAUGCAAGGUUAAGCAGUAAAUGUGGAGCCGUAGCGAAAGCGAGUCUGAAUAGGGCGUUUAGUAUUUGGUCGUAGACCCGAAACCAGGUGAUCUACCCUUGGUCAGGUUGAAGUUCAGGUAACACUGAAUGGAGGACCGAACCGACUUACGUUGAAAAGUGAGCGGAUGAACUGAGGGUAGCGGAGAAAUUCCAAUCGAACCUGGAGAUAGCUGGUUCUCUCCGAAAUAGCUUUAGGGCUAGCCUCAAGUGAUGAUUAUUGGAGGUAGAGCACUGUUUGGACGAGGGGCCCCUCUCGGGUUACCGAAUUCAGACAAACUCCGAAUGCCAAUUAAUUUAACUUGGGAGUCAGAACAUGGGUGAUAAGGUCCGUGUUCGAAAGGGAAACAGCCCAGACCACCAGCUAAGGUCCCAAAAUAUAUGUUAAGUGGAAAAGGAUGUGGCGUUGCCCAGACAACUAGGAUGUUGGCUUAGAAGCAGCCAUCAUUUAAAGAGUGCGUAAUAGCUCACUAGUCGAGUGACACUGCGCCGAAAAUGUACCGGGGCUAAACAUAUUACCGAAGCUGUGGAUUGUCCUUUGGACAAUGGUAGGAGAGCGUUCUAAGGGCGUUGAAGCAUGAUCG